UACUCUUGACAUCCACAGAACUUAGCAGAGAUGCUUAGGUGCCUUCGGGAACUGUGAGACAGGUGCUGCAUGGCUGUCGUCAGCUCGUGUUGUGAAAUGUUGGGUUAAGUCCCGCAACGAGCGCAACCCUUAUCCUUUGUUGCCAGCACGUAAUGGUGGGAACUCAAAGGAGACUGCCGGUGAUAAACCGGAGGAAGGUGGGGAUGACGUCAAGUCAUCAUGGCCCUUACGAGUAGGGCUACACACGUGCUACAAUGGCAGAUACAAAGUGAAGCGAACUCGCGAGAGCAAGCGGACCACAUAAAGUCUGUCGUAGUCCGGAUUGGAGUCUGCAACUCGACUCCAUGAAGUCGGAAUCGCUAGUAAUCGUAGAUCAGAAUGCUACGGUGAAUACGUUCCCGGGCC
rnacentral:rRNA from 1 species